rnacentral:rRNA from 1 species
AGAGUUUGAUCAUGGCUCAGGAUGAACGCUAGCGGCAGGCUUAACACAUGCAAGUCGAGGGGCAGCACGAGGUAGCAAUACUUUGGUGGCGACCGGCGCACGGGUGCGUAACGCGUAUGCAACCUACCUGUAACAGGGGGAUAAUCCGGGGAAACUUGGUCUAAUACCCCAUAGUAUUGAGAUAUCGCAUGAUAUUUCAAUUAAAGUUUUAAUGGUUAUAGAUGGGCAUGCGUGACAUUAGCUAGUUGGUAAGGUAACGGCUUACCAAGGCGACGAUGUCUAGGGGAACUGAGAGGUUGAUCCCCCACACUGGUACUGAGACACGGACCAGACUCCACGGGAGGCAGCAGUGAGGAAUAUUGGUCAAUGGGCGCAAGCCUGAACCAGCCAUGCCGCGUGCAGGAAGACGGUCCUAUGGAUUGUAAACUGCUUUUGUACGGGAGCAAUAAGAACUACGUGUAGUUCGAUGAGAGUACCGUACGAAUAAGCACCGGCUAACUCCGUGCCAGCAGCCGCGGUAAUACGGAGGGUGCAAGCGUUAUCCGGAUUCAUUGGGUUUAAAGGGUGCGUAGGCGGACUGGAAAGUCAGUGGUGAAAAGUUUGGGCUUAACCCAGACCCUGCCAUUGAUACUAUCAGACUAGAGUACAAGCGGCGUGGGCGGAAUAUGUCAUGUAGCGGUGAAAUGCAUAGAUAUGACAUAGAACACCGAUCGCGAAGGCAGCUCACGAGGAUGUUACUGACGCUGAUGCACGAAAGCGUGGGGAUCAAACAGGAUUAGAUACCCUGGUAGUCCACGCUGUAAACGAUGAUAACUCGUUGUCGGCGAUACACAGUCGGUGACUAAGCGAAAGCGAUAAGUUAUCCACCUGGGGAGUACGAUCGCAAGGUUGAAACUCAAAGGAAUUGACGGGGGCCCGCACAAGCGGAGGAGCAUGUGGUUUAAUUCGAUGAUACGCGAGGAACCUUACCUAGACUUGAACGUAAGAGGGAUAUUUAAGAAAUUAGAUAGCCAGCAAUGGCCUCUUACGAGGUGCUGCAUGGUUGUCGUCAGCUCGUGCCGUGAGGUGUCAGGUUAAGUCCUAUAACGGCGCAACCCCUGCACAUAGUUGCCAGCAUGUAAUGAUGGGGACUCUAUGUGGACUGCCGGCGCAAGCCGCGAGGAAGGUGGGGAUGACGUCAAAUCAGCACGGCCCUUACGUCUAGGGCGACACACGUGCUACAAUGGCCGAUACAGAGGGCAGCUACCUGGCGACAGGAUGCGAAUCUCGAAAGUCGGUCUCAGUUCGGAUCGGAGUCUGCAACUCGACUCCGUGAAGUCGGAUUCGCUAGUAAUCGCGCAUCAGCCAUGGCGCGGUGAAUACGUUCCCGGGCCUUGUACACACCGCCCGUCAAGCCAUGAAAGUUUGGGGUGCCUGAAGUACGUAACCGCAAGGAGCGUCCUAGGGUAAAACAAGUAAUUGGGGCUAAGUCGUAACAAGGUAACC